rnacentral:rRNA from 1 species
UACGUAGGCAGCAAGCGUUGUUCGGAAUUACUGGGCGUAAAGAGUGUGUAGGCGGUUUUCUAAGUUCGGUGUGAAAUCUCCCGGCUUAACUGGGAGGGUGCGCCGGAAACUGGAGGACUGGAGUGCCGGAGAGGAUAGCGGAAUUCCUGGUGUAGCGGUGAAAUGCGUAGAUAUCGGGAAGAACACCCGUGGCGAAGGCGGCACUCUGGGACGGUACUGACGCUGAGACGCGAAAGCGUGGGGAGCGAACAGG